UACAGAGGUCUCAAGCGUUGUUCGGAUUCAUUGGGCGUAAAGGGUGUGUAGGUGGCGCCGUUAGUCGGGUGUGAAAUUUCGGAGCUUAACUCCGAAACUGCAUUCGAUACUGCGGUGCUUGAGGACUGGAGAGGAGACUGGAAUUCAUGGUGUAGCAGUGAAAUGCGUAGAGAUCAUGAGGAAGACCAGUGGCGAAGGCGGGUCUCUGGACCGGAACUGACGCUGAGGCGCGAAAGCGUGGGGAGCAAACAGG
rnacentral:rRNA from 1 species